UGCCAGCAGCCGCGGUAACACGGGGGGCGCAAGCGUUAUUCGGAAUUAUUGGGCGUAAAGCGCGCGCAGGCGGAUGUGCAAGUCAGAUGUGAAAUCUCGGGGCUCAACCCCGAAACUGCGUCUGAAACUGCGUAUCUAGAGUAUCGAAGGGGGAAGUGGAAUUUCGCAUGUAGGGGUAAAAUCCGUAGAGAUGCGAAGGAACACCAGAGGCGAAGGCGACUUCCUGGUCGAUUACUGACGCUGAGGCGCGAAAGCGUGGGGAGCAAACAGGAUUAGAAA
rnacentral:rRNA from 1 species